rnacentral:rRNA from 1 species
AUUGAACGCUGGCGGCAUGCUUUACACAUGCAAGUCGAACGGCAGCGCGGGCUUCGUCCUGGCGGCGAGUGGCGAACGGGUGAGUAAUACAUCGGAACGUGCCCAGUAGUGUGGGAUUGCGCGUCGGCAGCCGGAUUAAUACUUCAUACGAUCUGUGGUGUAUACCUGGGGAUCUUCGGACCUCGCACGAUUUGAGCGGCCGAGGGCGGGUUAGCUAGUUAGUGGGGUUAUGGCCGACCAAGGCCACGAUCGGUAUCUGGUCUGAGAGGGCGACCAGCCAGGCUGGGACUGAGACACGGCCCAGACUCCUACGGGCGGCAGCAGUGGGGAGUUUUGGACAAUGGUCGAAAGCCUGAUCCAGCAAUGCGGCGUGUGUGAGGAAGGCCUUCGGGUGGUAAAGCACUUUUGGCGGGAACGGCAAGGACUGUGCCAAGACCGCGGCUCGAUGACGGUACCCGCAGAAUAAGCACCGGCUAACUACGUG